GAUGAACGCUGGCGGCGUGCCUAAUACAUGCAAGUCGAGCGAAUGGAUUAAGAGCUUGCUCUUAUGAAGUUAGCGGCGGACGGGUGAGUAACACGUGGGUAACCUGCCCAUAAGACCGGGAUAACUCCGGGAAACCGGGGCUAAUACCGGAUAACAUUUUGAACCGCAUGGUUCGAAAUUGAAAGGCGGCUUCGGCUGUCACUUAUGUAUGGACCCGCGUCGCAUUAGCUAGUUGUGAGGUAACGGCUCACCAAGGCAACGAUGCGUAGCCGACCUGAGAGGGUGAUCGGCCACACUGGGACUGAGACACGGCCCAGACUCCUACGGGAGGCAGCAGUAGGGAAUCUUCCGCAAUGGACGAAAGUCUGACGGAGCAACGCCGCGUGAGUGAUGAAGGCUUUCGGGUCGUAAAACUCUGUUGUUAGGGAAGAACAAGUGCUAGUUGAAUAAGCUGGCACCUUGACGGUACCUAACCAGAAAGCCACGGCUAACUACGUGCCAGCCGCCGCAGUAA
rnacentral:rRNA from 1 species